UACGUAGGGUGCAAGCGUUGUCCGGAAUUAUUGGGCGUAAAGAGCUCGUAGGCGGUCCGUCACGUCGGCUGUGAAAACCCGGGGCUCAACCCCGGGCCUGCAGUCGAUACGGGCGGACUAGAGUUCGGCAGGGGAGACUGGAAUUCCUGGUGUAGCGGUGAAAUGCGCAGAUAUCGGGAGGAACACCGGUGGCGAAGGCGGAUCUCUGGGCCUUGCCUGACGCUGAGGCGCGAAAGCUAGGGGAGCGAACAGG
rnacentral:rRNA from 1 species